UACGUAGGGUGCGAGCGUUGUCCGGAAUUAUUGGGCGUAAAGAGCUCGUAGGCGGUUUGUCGCGUCGAAUGUGAAAACCCGGGGCUCAACUCCGGGCCUGCAUUCGAUACGGGCAGACUAGAGUUCGGUAGGGGAGUCUGGAAUUCCUGGUGUAGCGGUGAAAUGCGCAGAUAUCAGGAGGAACACCGGUGGCGAAGGCGGGACUCUGGGCCGAUACUGACGCUGAGGAGCGAAAGCGUGGGGAGCAAACAGG
rnacentral:rRNA from 1 species